rnacentral:rRNA from 1 species
AGGGGAAUAUUGGACAAUGGGCGCAAGCCUGAUCCAGCCAUGCCGCGUGAGUGAUGAAGGCCCUAGGGUUGUAAAGCUCUUUCACCGGUGAAGAUAAUGACGGUAACCGGAGAAGAAGCCCCGGCUAACUUCGUGCCAGCAGCCGCGGUAAUACGAAGGGGGCUAGCGUUGUUCGGAUUUACUGGGCGUAAAGCGCACGUAGGCGGACUUUUAAGUCAGGGGUGAAAUCCCGGGGCUCAACCCCGGAACUGCCUUUGAUACUGGAAGUCUUGAGUAUGGUAGAGGUGAGUGGAAUUCCGAGUGUAGAGGUGAAAUUCGUAGAUAUUCGGAGGAACACCAGUGGCGAAGGCGGCUCACUGGACCAUUACUGACGCUGAGGUGCGAAAGCGUGGGGAGCAAACAGG